GGAUGCAGCCAACUCACUGUGGGCAGAGGUUUACCAAUGAGACCAAGAGAGAAAUGCGUUCAUAUACCCCUGCCAUUGUACAUCCCAUCCUUCCUCACUCUCCUCCUUUUCUGAAGGACACAGCUUUCAUUUGUACGUUAAUAUAUUCAGUCAGUUUACAGCAGAUCUUACCAACUAGAGAAGAAUUCCGUCUCUUUCCAAUGAGGUUGCCUAUCUCUGUUUGGAUCCCAUUCUGUGUUGCUCUUAAGAUUUUACUCUCAAAAGUCAUUUUAUUUCGAUAUUACUAUAUUCCCCCAGUACCUUGAAAAAUGUUGAUAACUGAUGAAGCUAGAAAUACGGAGCUAAAUAGAUGUUUGGACUUCAUCCUAAGGUAGGUGAUGGAGAGCCAUCGAGGGUUUCAAGCCAAGGAGUGAGUAACAUAAUUUGGGCGUUCUUCGCUAGGAUGGCUCCCUUUAUGGAAUGUUAGCAAGUUGACGCAUCCAUUCAAUUCAGCACUUAUUUAUGGAUCAUCUCUUUUAUAUAAGAUGCUGCGCUGGGUACUAUGUGGGUAUAAAAUUAAAAGGUUAAAAAGAAAAUGUUUCAUCUAUUAUGCUGGUGUCCAUUUCGGAUAUAGGUGGAAAAAGCUAUAGCACUAAUUUUAAGUCUGAUUGGUAAAGGAAAGCACUGCUUGAGAUAUUAGUGGUUCCUGACAUAAAUCCUUUUAGUAAAGACAUGUCUUUAACCCUUCUAGAUGACAACAAGCUCCAAGGACAGCAUCUUUUCCUCUUUUUUUUUAUUUUUAUGGCCACACCUGUGACACAGGGAAGUUCCCGAGCUCGGGGUUGAAUCUGAGGUGCAGCUGCAGGCUCCGCCACAGCCCUAGCAACCCUGAGUUUGAGCUGUAUCUGUGACUGUGCCACCGCUGGCAGCAAUGUCAGAUCCUUAACCCACUGAGAGAAGCCAAGGUUUGAACCCACAGCCUCAUGGGCACUAGGUCAGGUUCCUGACAUGCUGAGCCCUAAAAGGAGCUCCGACAUUACCCUUUCAGCUCUGGAAAGACCAGCCUACUUGAGCUUGUAGUGUUCAUCUGGUCAUUUAGCAGGAAUAUACUCGCUAUAUAUUUUGAUUUUUUAAAUUUUUUAUGAUUUUUAUUUUUUUCAGUUAUAGUUGAUUGACAGUGUUCUGUCAAUUUCUACUCUCCAGCAAGGUGACCCACGCAUAUAUACAUAUGUGUUCUUUUUCUCCCCUUCUCCUCCAUCAUGUUCCAUCGCACGUGACUGGAUGUAGUUCCCUGUGCUGUACAGCAGGAUCUCAUUGCUUAUCUAAGUACAAAAAAAAAAAAAAAAAAAUUGGAAGCAGCCAACAGGUCAAAGACUUUUGUGUGAAAAUUACAUACUUCAAAAGGAACCCAGUGGGCUCGGAGAGUGUGCCUCUGAGGGAGAGUGGCAGAGGGAUUUUUUUUUAGGGUUGGAUUUUAACAUCCCUGACCAGUUGGGUGAAAAUUGUUUUGAAGAUGUAUUACAUUCCCUGAUCAAAUGGAAAAAAAAUGACACCUGCCAUGGUAUCUAGGAGACACCCGACUAACAUAGAGCCACACACUCUUCCCCACAUGGCCUUGUUGUGCAAACCUUCCAAUAGCCCAUCCCUGGCAGCUGGGACAACCUCGUGCCUCCUCAUGGAGACCGGCCACUCAGAAGAUUAGGGAAAGCUCCAGACUGGUCACUGUUUUCCCUUGGAAGUUCCCAAGUGUGGUUAAUGGGUAAUCUUUUCUUUCUAAUAUUUAAUCUAGCAGUUCCUUCCUUUCUGCUUCUUUUAAUACCUGAGUCAACCUUGAAGAUACUUGCACUUUAAAUAUAUGAGUCAGGCGGUUUUGGUGCAACAGUGUCAUGUUAAAAAUUGCUAUCAGGUGCACUUCAGGGUUGUGUCAAUAAUUUCCUAGCUCUUGGAUGUCCUAUAAUCUGUUUUAUUUUUUUUUAUUUUCCCAAUACAUUAUUUUUUUUCUACUGUACAGCAUGGUGACCCAGUUACACAAACAUGUAUACAUUUUUUUUUCACACAUUAUCAUGCUCCAUCACAAGUGAUUAGACAUAGUUCCCAGUGCUACACUGCAGGAUCUCAUUGCUAAUCCGUUUUAUGUGUUGUUUUUUGUUCCAGUCCUGCAAGGGUUAAUUUUCUUUCCCCUGUUAGUGUUUGAUGGGACUCCUCCUAUAUUAAUGUGGGUUUUGAAAUGAAAAAUCCCUACAUGCGCCAAGAGUGCCUUGGAUAGUUUUGCAUUUGCAAAUAAAGCCCUAACAAAUGCUCAUUUAAAAAAAUAUAUUUUCCCAGCUGAGCACAUUAAGGCUAUAUGCUGCAUCUUUGUAUUCACUUCAAUAAACCAGGUGUGCUUCUGGAGAUUAGCUAUUUUUUAUAAAGAAUGAUUUUGAGACAAAUGACAAUGGGCUCAUUUCUCUUUAUGCCGAGGAUCACAUUAAAAGAAAACCGCCGUGAUUAGUUUUAAUAUCUCAGAUAGCUUAAUGAGUACUCACUAAAAAUGUGCAUGCGUGCGUGCGUGCGUGUGUGUGUGUGUGUGUGAAUGUACAAGCACAGAAGGUAGAUAUAUGUGUACACAUGGGCCUGAAUAAUUUUCUAACAUCUUGAGUAAUACCUGUCAGGGAUUUUAAUAACCCGGUGCCGGUGAAUUAUUCUGGUGGCUGUUUUUGCUGAGGCUUUCGUCGGGAAGUCCAUUUUCCUCUGGAGCUGGGUUUUCUUUUUUUUUUUUUUUAAGUACCCAUCAGAAAAUAUGAAAAUGGACAAGGAUUUUAUGUGUCAGUUAUCGUCAAGGAUGACUUCUAUCUUCAUAACUUAUCUGGAGUUCUUUUACACCGUACAUCUCACCUGUAACCAGAGCUGGAGGUUGGCGUAGGGAUGCGAGGUGUGUGGGUUAGAUAUGGGGCUGACCUUAGGCACCAGUAAGAGAUGGGUUAGAGGUUGCUGGGAAGGGGUGACGUUCCUUUACAUAGAAUGCACUUGGAAGGAGGCGGCAUCCUGACCCUUCUUGUCUAGUUCUGUAGUUAAUGAAUAGAGGGCAUGUGUGCAGAUGUUGGAAAGGGCCCGUGGGGAGAAAGCUGGGAAAGCAAGAGGAUCCAGGGGCCUGGUAGAGCCGACGGUCAAGGGUUCACAGAAGCCAGUCUGGGCAGGGAGUCCCCUGUAGCCACAAGGGGCAGGGUCGGGGGUGGCCAGCAGGCAGAAUCAUUUCAGAGGCAUCUCCUGGACAUCCCGGAGGAGGAAGAGCUGCCUUGGGCUUCUGCAUUUCAAGAUCUGCUCCCGGUGGUAAAUGUAAGAGGUGAUUAUUGCUGUAUUAGAGAAUCAACGAAGUCUCGAUUAUUUAAAAACAGAUUCUUCCCAGUGCCGUAGUCAGGGGACCCAUAGUUGUGUUAGUAUCUUUGUUAUUUUUUCUUGACAUGGGUUCUUUUAAUGCAAUUCUAGAAAUUGGAGAGGGAAGGAUAAAAUUAAAAUUUGGCAAGUUUUUUUUUUCUUUUCUUUUUUCGGAACCCUGGGUGAUGGUUUAUACAGGUGGAAGGAUGAGUUGGAAGCUGUUGCAGAUAUGCGGUGGGUGAAUGGCCAGGAAAGGCCGUGACCCAUAUUUUCUGUGACCCCAGAUAAUUCAUCUUCUGCUCUCCCUUUUGAGGUGUUAGUUUUGUUUUGUUCCUAUGUGAGCACAAUCUCUGUAAAGAGCAUUAGUGCCUUGUCUUUAGAAACAUGACUUAAUUUUUGGUCUAUAUGUGUCUUUAAGAGCCAGGAUGUGGGUACCAAUAACUGUUGUUCUUUUGCCUCUAAUCCCGAGAAGCUGGCUCAAUGUGAGAGUAAGAAAAAUAAGAACCAGAAGAGCUAAAUUUAAAACUCCGGGUUAAGAUAAUGGCUCUUUAAUGGGACAUGUGCUUUUGUCACGGGAUUUUUUUCUUUCUUUUUUUUUUUUGGCUAUUGUAAAACUGAGAAGGGUCAACAGAGAUGUGUUUCAUUUCAGGAAGUGUGACUGAGAAUUUUUGGUUAACAGGGGCUGAAGUGGUGCAUUAUUCAUUUAUUAUCGAUGGGUUUUAAAAAUGACACAAACUUUUCAGGUCGAGUCUGGUGAUUUUAUAGUGGCUGUGUAAAUGGGCAAGAGAGAGGCUUCCUCUCUGUAACCGAAUCCCAGCUUCCUUCUUUCCAUUUCUGGAAAGCAUCUUUGUGGUCCAAUUUAGCUGAGAUCGGUGAGAGCACUCCGUUUGCUGUGUCUAGGGUUGGAAUGUGGCAGGACUACCCUGCAGCAGUAGCAAGUUUCUCUUCUUCGCUGAGUUUGCUAGUGGGAGGUGGGACUUAAUUAUCUAUACACAGGUUAUUACAGAGUAUUGGGGGCGGGGAAGCGGGGGAGGCCAAGAAAUGCUCAAUGUUUGCCAUUGACUUUGAACUGGAGCUGGGAGCAGAAGGAGAAUUUGAGGGUAUAUUUUUGAGGCUGCAAGGGGAGCUAGCAGGCCAACGAGGAAUGGGGUGAUUGAUAUCUGCUUGCAGAGAAGGCGUUAUCAUUUCACCACGAUGGAUGAAAAUGGUGCCUCUCUUUCCUAGGACCCAGGAGGCAUCUGUGUGGGUACAGUGGAAAGGCUGACACAUGGCAGUUCUCCGGCUGUCACCAGAGCUUAUCACACUUUGCCAAAUCUAAGCUUACUGGCUGCUCUUGUUUAAAUAGACCCUUUGGGAGAGCUUUAAAAAAAAAAAAAAAAAAAAACUGAGCAGACUGGGUUUCUCAUUUUAGCUGUGACAGCUUAUACUUAGAAACAUCUCCAAACUUGCUUGUUUACAAACACCUGUACCAGCACUGUAUGUUUGCUGUUUUGUUUUUUUUUUUUUUUUUGAGUGGGCCUGUGGCGUCACCGAAAAUGGGGGUGCCCCUGUUUGUGUAUUCACUUACUGCUGCUGGAUGCCUGCGGUGUGCCUGGGGGGUGUGCGUGCAUGUGUGUUUGCUUGAGUGUGACUUUUUCUUCACUUCCCCCCUGGGUGAGUGCCUCAAGCCCACACAACAGAUGGCCUGCAUUGAACAGUGGAGCCUGGCUUUCUUGGGAAUCAAAGAAAUCGGUGGUCAGUUGUUAUUUGGGACAAGGUUAAAUGUUAUUUUUUUAUUUUAUUUUUUUGUCUUUUUGCCAUUUCUAGGGCUGCUCCCGCAGCAUAUGGAGGUUCCCAGGCUAGGGGUCGAAUUGGAGCUGUAGUCACCGGCCUACACCAGAGCCACAGCAACACGGGAUCCGAGCCGCAUCUGCCACCUACACCACAGCUCACGGCAACGCUGGAUCCUUAACCCACUGAGCAAGACCAGGGAACGAACCCACAACCUCAUGGUUCCUAGUCAGAUUCGUUAACCACUGAGCCAUGACAGGAACUCUGAGGUUAAAUUUUAAAUAACACCCUAGAGAGAGCGGUUAGCGCCUCAGUUGAGCAACUCAGGAUCUGCAUUGGAGCAAAUGCUUUCUCUAUGUCCCUGAUUUGCUAUAUUUAGGUGUCAUCCAGCAGAGGGUAUAGCCGAGUGACUCAAGAGAAACAAAUAGAGGGAGCUCUCCAUAAUAUAAAUAAUUCGCCCUGUUAGCAAAGCAGGAAUACUCAUCUAUGGUUAGAAUGAGCCCUCUAGGGAAGCAAUGGUUUCUGUCAAAUGGAAAUAAAAUGCUAUCAGAGGCCGUCCAAAGAUGGCAGCAGCACGGUUCAGGGAUAACGUUGAACUUAAUACUCAUGGAGUCCAGAUCCUAAAAUGUCAGCUGAGAGCCUGCUGGGUUCAUGACUUUGAUUAUAACUGUGAGAUUCUCUAGGACAAGAAUAGCUUUUCCUUUCUAAGAAGGUCAACAAGAUAUUGUAUACCAAAGCAAGAUUUCGAAAAAAAA
ensembl:lncRNA